UUUCCGUAGGUGAACCUGCGGAAGGAUCAUUACAAAUCUUUUGCGAGUGCUGCGCUUGUGUAGCCUCACAACAUUAGCACAAGGUCGCAAGGCCUUGAUGUUUACGCUUGUUUGUUUGACAGAGUUAGUUGGGACAAUAAUAAAGACAACUUUUAACAAUGGAUCUCUUGGCUCUU
rnacentral:misc_RNA from 1 species